rnacentral:rRNA from 1 species
AAAUUGAAGAGUUUGAUCAUGGCUCAGAUUGAACGCUGGCGGCAGGCCUAACACAUGCAAGUCGAGCGGUAGCACAGGAGAGCUUGCUCUCCGGGUGACGAGCGGCGGACGGGUGAGUAAUGUCUGGGAAACUGCCUGAUGGAGGGGGAUAACUACUGGAAACGGUAGCUAAUACCGCAUAACGUCGCAAGACCAAAGAGGGGGACCUUCGGGCCUCUUGCCAUCAGAUGUGCCCAGAUGGGAUUAGCUAGUAGGUGGGGUAAUGGCUCACCUAGGCGACGAUCCCUAGCUGGUCUGAGAGGAUGACCAGCCACACUGGAACUGAGACACGGUCCAGACUCCUACGGGAGGCAGCAGUGGGGAAUAUUGCACAAUGGGCGCAAGCCUGAUGCAGCCAUGCCGCGUGUAUGAAGAAGGCCUUCGGGUUGUAAAGUACUUUCAGCGAGGAGGAAGGCGUUGUGGUUAAUAACCGCAGCGAUUGACGUUACUCGCAGAAGAAGCACCGGCUAACUCCGUGCCAGCAGCCGCGGUAAUACGGAGGGUGCAAGCGUUAAUCGGAAUUACUGGGCGUAAAGCGCACGCAGGCGGUCUGUCAAGUCGGAU